CCGCAGUGAAUAGCUGUGCUAAGGUAGCGUAAUAAAUUGUCUCUUAAUUGGAGAAGGGUAUGAAUGGUUUGACGUGGUAGUUUCUGUCUCAAUAAUAGUAUUGCGAAGUUUUCAUUUAAGUUAAAAGUCUUAAAUAUAUGUAAAAGACGAGAAGACCCUGUCGAGCUUAAUAAAAUUAUGUAAAGAUUUCAUAUAAUAAAUUUAACUGGGGCAGUUGAGAACCAAAAAAUAGUUCUUUGUUAUUUGAAGAUCCGGUUUUACCGAUCAUAAGAAAAAGCUACCGCAGGGAUAACAGCGUUAUCCUUUCUAAGAGGACUAAUUGAAGAAAGGGUUUGCGACCUCGAUGUUGGAUUAAAGUUUCUUUUUGGUGCAGCAGCU
rnacentral:rRNA from 1 species